rnacentral:rRNA from 1 species
UACGGAGGGUGCAAGCGUUAUCCGGAUUCACUGGGUUUAAAGGGUGCGUAGGUGGGUCUGUAAGUCAGUGGUGAAAUCUCCGAGCUUAACUCGGAAACUGCCAUUGAUACUAUAGAUCUUUGAAUUUUCUGGAGGUAAGCGGAAUAUGUCAUGUAGCGGUGAAAUGCUUAGAUAUGACAUAGAACACCAAUUGCGAAGGCAGCUUACUACAGGAACAUUGACACUGAGGCACGAAAGCGUGGGGAUCAAACAGG